rnacentral:lncRNA from 1 species
AAUACGGACUUAUAAUUCUUCCCCAACUACUGAGUCACUCCUUAGUAAUUAAUUUAAAAAUGUCCUUCUUAGCAAUGUUAAUUUUCUCUAGUUACGAACAUCCUUCUUAGCUACCGUAUAAUGCAUUUUAACAAUUAAAAACAUUUAUAUUUUAAUUCCUCACUUUCAUCUAAAACACGAAAAGAAAAAAAAAACACAAUUAGUUCGAUAAAAGUU